rnacentral:misc_RNA from 1 species
GAUGAAGAACGCAGCGAAAUGCGAUAAGUAAUGUGAAUUGCAGAAUUCAGUGAAUCAUCGAAUCUUUGAACGCACAUUGCGCCCCCUGGUAUUCCGGGGGGCAUGCCUGUCCGAGCGUCAUUGCUGCCCUCAAGCACGGCUUGUGUGUUGGGCCCCCGUCCCCGGUUUCCCCCGGGGACGGGCCCGAAAGGCAGCGGCGGCACCGCGUCCGGUCCUCGAGCGUAUGGGGCUUUGUCACCCGCUCUGUAGGCCCGGCCGGCGCCAGCCGACACCCAACUUUAUUUCUAAGGUUGACCUCGGAUCAGGUAGGGAUACCCGCUGAACUUAAGCAUAUAAUAAGCGGAGGA